GAUCCACGAGCAGCAUCCGGACGGUCGACGGGCGCGUUUCUCGCGCAGGAGACGAACGGCAUUUCGUCGAGAGAGACUUCGCCGACUCACACGAUCACCGCUCACUCCGGCCCGAUCUCCUUCGCUCCGUGUCGUCCUCGGUGUUGUUCGGCGGACGAACGGCGCUCGGUUUGCGGCAGGCAAGGAGGCGAAGUAGGUGCUCUCCGCAUCGUGCGAGGAAUCCCGGUGUUCGCUCACUCGUGCUGUUCCAGACUCGACGUACUUGCCGACUCCUGCAGCCUUACGACGCCGGCAUAUUGGACAUACUGAGGGCGAGCUACAGCGGCGAUCGGAACGAGGUGAAGAACGAAAACGGGCCCUUUUGGCGGCAAUCCGGCAAGAUGGCGUAUCAUUGUCCCAGGUGCAAUGCGGGCUACACCUACAAGAAGACCCUGAAGACUCACAUGAAGUACGAUUGCGGGAAGGAGCCGAGGUUCAAGUGCCCUUACUGCAACAAGAGGGACAAGUGCUCGUCGAACAUUUACAAGCACAUUAGGAUGCGACACGACGGGAUGCCGGUGAUCGUGCACAGAAAUUAGGGCCAGCCGUCUCCUCUACCUCUUAAUUCCGUCAUUCGUCGUCGUUGUCGUCGUCGUCGUCGAACGGCCGUUUUCACUUUGGACUGAAUUGCAAACGGCAAUGGACUCGCGAAGAAUUGUUCUGAAGUGACUUCAAGGAUUUAUAUCCUUAAUUGUAGUUAAUACCUACUAGUUACAUGCUGAAUUCUGACGUCAGAAGUCGUAGGCAUCUUUGUUUGUACGUUGUACGCCGAAGUAAAUUAAUGUUUUCGCAAGUUUGGCUGGUGGAAUUAACUGGCGAAAUAUUUCGAAACUGCAGAAGAAUAUGGGUUUGGACUGUGCAUAGUAGAUAGUUGUAAAUCUCGAUCGAUUGGUGAAGAAAAUUAAUUCGCUUUGACGUGCAACGCAAAGUGAAAUAUGAUUUCUAAUUUCUGACGUUUGAAUUCAAUGCGGCUGCUGUGAGGAAACGGGAGCCUUAAAUAGAAGAAAAAAGGAGGAGAGAAAGACAAUCUCUUUCCUCGUAAUUUUCCUCUAUUUUAUUUCGUCUCUUGUCUAUUGACUGUGUGACUAUUAUAUCGUUUUAAGAUAUAAUUUUUUAAAUAUCUUUGUUGAUUUAAUCAUCCAUCCUAUUUUCUCUCUAUUAGUGCGAACAGAAAUUAUUUGGGCAUUUGUGAUUAAUCAGUCUUGUAAGGCCUGAAUUGAGGAACGUUAGUUCGUUAGUGUAAGGAUUCUAAUUAAAUAGACGAAUGAUCGAUGGUAUUGAAAUAAAUUUAAUAAGGAAAGUAUAUUGUAUGUAAAGUAAGAGUGAAAACGAAUCUAGGUCAAAGUUAUUUAUUUUUUGUUCCAUGCACUUGCAGUUGCUCCUUUCGUCAUGAAUUUGAUUUCGUUGUUCCGAGAGAUUAAAUCCGAUCGUCUAAAUUCCAACUCUUAACUCAAUUUAAAAAAUUGAAAUUGUAACCAUACACUAAAGUUUACACUAAACUCAAUUCAAAAAAUUGAAAUUGUAACCAUACGCUAAAGUUUCUUUUUCAGAAUGUAUCCGUUUCUAAUAGCAAGGAAUGUGCAAGAGAAACUUGACAACGUUCGACUCUCCGGAAUGUUCGUAAAUACGAAUCAAAGUCCUCAAGAAAGAUCAAUGUGCAUUAUAUGAAUUUGUGUAAGAAAAGAAAAACAUUUCGAUCGUUUCUUCGACUAAGUAAGUUCCUAUCAUGUAUACAUCCAAGAUAAAGUGGCGACUUUUUUAGGAAAAUCGAUCUGAACACAUUUUCAAAAGGGCUGAAAUCUAUUUCAACGUGAUGCUGGUUCUCUUUUAAAAAACGCACAUGAUGACGCGCCGAAGAAUAUACUUUCGUUCGUUUUGUAAAGCAAAAGGAAUAAGUGCUUCGCCCUUGUGGAAACAUGGUGUUCAAUCGUAUUACAGUUUGUGCCAUUUGCGAAUCUAUGUACAGUCGACAAUCUCAUCCGUUAACGAUGCUCGAGUGUAUCGUUUACCUCAAUAAAACAGUGAAGAGAUCAA